rnacentral:lncRNA from 1 species
UUGGAUAAUAAUGAAAUGGUGGCAUCUGUUAAGUUCACAGUCUAUACAACAACUGAAUUGCAGAUGAAAAGAUCCACCAGACCAGACACUGAUGCCGUCUUAGUCUUCGUGCUGACCAUAGGAGUCAUCAUCUGCAUAUUUGUGAUCUUUGUAUUGAUUUUCAUAAUCAUAAAUUGGGCGGCAGUGAAAUCCUUCUGGGGGGCAAAAGCCUCAACAACUGAGAUACAGUCCGAGAUGAGCUCUAUGAGGUACAAAGAUUCGACAUCACUUGACCAGUCACCAACAGAUAUACCUGUACAUGAAGACGAUGCUUUAAGUGAAUGGAAUGAAUGAUGUAUGGAUGACAUAUGAGAAACUAGAGACCAUUAGAACAUAUCAGAUUCAUUAUUAUGAAAAUAAAAUAUAUACUGAAAA